rnacentral:rRNA from 1 species
UACGUAGGGGGCUAGCGUUGUCCGGAAUCAUUGGGCGUAAAGAGCGUGUAGGCGGUUCGGUAAGUCGGCUGUGAAAGUCCAGGGCUCAACCCUGGGAUGCCGGUCGAUACUGCCGGCCUGGAGGGAGGCAGGGGAGCGCGGAACUUCCGGUGGAGCGGUGAAAUUCGUAGAUAUCGGGAGGAACACCGGUGGCGAAGGCGGCGACCUGGGUAGAUACUGACGCUGAGGCGCGAAAGCGUGGGGAGCAAACAGG